GGCCCAAUGGCCAACGAUGGCGCCCGCACCUCAUAGGAUUGGGUGGAGAUAGUGAUGCAAGCGGGAGAUCCCGGUUCGAUUCCGGGUUGGGUCA